CCCCGUAACAUUAUGAAGUGGCAUCACUUUAUAAUUAUAGCUCCGGCGUUUAAAGAUGGGUGUGCGGCUGAUUAGGUAGUUGGCGGGGUAACGGCCCACCAAGCCUGCGAUCAGUAACUGGUGUGAGAGCACGACCAGUCACACGGGCACUGAGACACGGGCCCGACUCCUACGGGAGGCAGCAGUAAGGAAUAUUGGGCAAUGGACGCAAGUCUGACCCAGCCAUGCCGCGUGGAGGAUGAAGGCCCUCUGGGUUGUAAACUUCUUUUCUCUGGGGCGAAAAACAGGUUUUCUAACUUGCUUGACAGUACCAGAGGAAUAAGCACCGGCUAACUCCGUGCCAGCAGCCGCGGUAAUACGGAGGGUGCAAGCGUUAUCCGGAUUCACUGGGUUUAAAGGGUGCGUAGGUGGGGAGGUAAGUCAGCGGUGAAAUCCCCGAGCUUAACUUGGGAACUGCCAUUGAUACUAUCUCUCUUGAAUACCUUGGAGGUGAGCGGAAUAUGUCAUGUAGCGGUGAAAUGCUUAGAUAUGACAUAGAACACCAAUUGCGAAGGCAGCUCACUACACGGUCAUUGACACUGAGGCACGAAAGCGUGGGGAUCAAACAGGAUUAGAUACCCUGGUAGUCCACGCCCUAAACGAUGGAUACUCGACAUCAGCGAUACACUGUUGGUGUCUGAGCGAAAGCAUUAAGUAUCCCACC
rnacentral:rRNA from 1 species